ensembl:lncRNA
GCUCAGUGGAGUCAUUUUUAACUUGGAAAACUACAGAAACAUGCAAAAGGAAUAAGUAACAUUCUCAAGCAAUGUUUUAUAAAAUUGCUAUGAAGAGGCUUUCCAGCUGAUGGAACCGACACUGCUUGCAUUUCAAAUGCACACACAAAUAUGUAUAUAUAAAGGCGAAUAUUUUAACAGGAUAUCUCAACGCUGAAUUAAAAACGCAAGCAUACAGGGUUUUCCUUCCUCUGACUUUCAGAUUGCAUUCUAACUUGAAGAACUGAGUGAAAACAAGCAUUACAAAACAAAACUGAAUUGAACUACAAGUUCCUACAAUGUAGGCUGUCAAGAGCAUUUGUAUUCCUACGACUGAGAAAAUUAACAACGAAAAAUAUUGCAUCUGUAUUUUUUCAAAAACCAUCUAACAAGACAGCGAAGAGCACCUAGAAAAGUGUCAGAGGACAGCAAGCUCUUACAGAGUCUUACAUCAAGCAGUACCUAAAAGAAAGUACAACAGUAAGAGAAAUAUAAUUGGGAGGAAAGAAGUAACAAGAAAUAAAACCAGAAGAAAAGUCGUCCACAAUAGGUAAGAAACACAAUUUAACUGGACUUACUAAUCUAAAUGAUUCCAGUAUUGAAGUAAAAUCCCUGUGGUCCAUAAGCACAACCCUUAUGUAAGUAAAAAAAAAAAUAACAUAGUACUACCUCUCAAUUCAGUUGCUUCAUUACUCAAAGGAGCCCAACUGCAGUUUUCUAAAGACUGUGAAAGAAUCAGAGCUAUAUACUACAGCUUAUUGCAAGGGACAGACAAAAGAAACCCUUGCAUCAGAAGGCAGCAAACCAUAACUUAAAAUAAUCAGGAAAAAAAAAAAAUACUGAUUGAACAUACACAUGCUUGGAAUUUUCUUAAGGCUCUCCUUUCUGCUGAAUGUUCAAUUAAUGUCAGCUGCUUGCUACAGGUGGCUCUUUAUUUUUUAAAUGAAUGUUACCAGCCCGCUUGUCCCACGAAUGUUAUUUACAAUCACGUCUUUUAUUCUUGUUUUAGUUGACAGGACAAUCUCUUCAAGGAUCUGGGCAGAGCUGAUCUAUUUGAUUUGCAGGUUAUCUACUGCCUGCAGAUACAAGCACUUUGAUUGUUUACAAUGCAGGAGUAAUUGGUGACAGUUAAAUAACUCCAGAGACUGAUUUAAGAGUUCUUCACCUACUGCAUGAAGGUAGGGCUUCAUCCAACAGCCCUUCAUCUGGCUAAAUUCUUAAAGAUUUCAUUACAAAAAUAACAUAUUAAAAAAAUAUCAAACACUAUGAUGAUUAAAAUCAUCAAUUGCUUGCCAGCAUUACAUAUAAUUUUAAUGGUUUUAAAUGAAUUUGUAUUUAGAAAUGAAAAUUAUCAUAAGCAGCAGGUAUUUUCAAAUUUCUCAUUACAUUUGCAAAAUCGGUUGCAAAAAAUGAGUUCGUACUGCAAAGCAUUAAGUCAGAUUUCUACAGUGCUUCCUUCAGCAAACUAAUCCAAAAUGAGAACAUUAAAAGCAAAUUCAGCAAGUAUUCCUAUGAGGAAUUUUUGUGUUGUUUCAUUGGUAAUGCAUUGCUUGCUGAUUGCAUGUGUUCAAGCUGUGGAUAAUAUUUAAAACAACUUUUCUACAAAUUCGCCUAGCCUUGAGCAACCAAAGAGAAUGACUUUGCUAUAAAUAAAUCAGGGUAAUAUUUUGGUUAGGAAGAAAGUCACAGAGCACAUUUUAUUUGCUGACGCCAUUUUAUGGCCACUGAACUUUACUGUUUCACAAAAUGGUGUGGAAGCACAAUACCGGUAAGACUACACUGAUGGCUAAUGGAACAACUCUUAAGUUAUAUUCCAGACUUUUGAAGCAUAGUAACCAGACAACAGUAAUUAAAUAUAUCACUGAAGUUAUUUUACAUUGCUGGACAACACCAUUGUGGAUAUAGCCUGACUCAAG